UGCAGUCGAGCGGACAGAUGGGAGCUUGCUCCCUGAAGUCAGCGGCGGACGGGUGAGUAACACGUGGGCAACCUGCCUGUAAGACUGGGAUAACUCCGGGAAACCGGGGCUAAUACCGGAUAAUUCUUUCCCUCACAUGAGGGAAAGCUGAAAGAUGGUUUCGGCUAUCACUUACAGAUGGGCCCGCGGCGCAUUAGCUAGUUGGUGAGGUAACGGCUCACCAAGGCCACGAUGCGUAGCCGACCUGAGAGGGUGAUCGGCCACACUGGGACUGAGACACGGCCCAGACUCCUACGGGAGGCAGCAGUAGGGAAUCUUCCGCAAUGGACGAAAGUCUGACGGAGCAACGCCGCGUGAGUGAUGAAGGUUUUCGGAUCGUAAAACUCUGUUGUCAGGGAAGAACAAGUACCGGAGUAACUGCCGGUACCUUGACGGUACCUGACCAGAAAGCCACGGCUAACUACGUGCCAGCAGCCGCGGUAAUACGUAGGUGGCAAGCGUUGUCCGGAAUUAUUGGGCGUAAAGCGCGCGCAGGCGGUUCCUUAAGUCUGAUGUGAAAGCCCCCGGCUCAACCGGGGAGGGUCAUUGGAAACUGGGGAACUUGAGUGCAGAAGAGAAGAGUGGAAUUCCACGUGUAGCGGUGAAAUGCGUAGAGAUGUGGAGGAACACCAGUGGCGAAGGCGACUCUUUGGUCUGUAACUGACGCUGAGGCGCGAAAGCGUGGGGAGCAAACAGGAUUAGAUACCCUGGUAGUCCACGCCGUAAACGAUGAGUGCUAAGUGUUAGAGGGUUUCCGCCCUUUUAGUGCUGCAGCAAACGCAUUAAGCACUCCGCCUGGGGAGUACGGCCGCAAGGCUGAAACUCAAAGGAAUUGACGGGGGCCCGCACAAGCGGCGGAGCAUGUGGUUUAAUUCGAAGCAACGCGAAAAAACCUAACAGUCUUGACAUCUCCUGACACCCCUAGAGAUA
rnacentral:rRNA from 2 species